rnacentral:rRNA from 1 species
GAGUUUGAUCCUGGCUCAGAACGAACGCUGGCGGCAGGCCUAACACAUGCAAGUCGAGCGCACUCUUCGGAGUGAGCGGCGGACGGGUUAGUAACGCGUGGGAAUAUACCCGGUACUAAGGAAUAGCCUCUGGAAACGGAGAGUAAUACCUUAUACGCCCUUCGGGGGAAAGAUUUAUCGGUAUCGGAUUAGCCCGCGUUAGAUUAGUUAGUUGGUGGGGUAACGGCCUACCAAGACGACGAUCUAUAGCUGGUUUGAGAGGAUGAUCAGCAACACUGGGACUGAGACACGGCCCAGACUCCUACGGGAGGCAGCAGUGGGGAAUCUUAGACAAUGGGCGCAAGCCUGAUCUAGCCAUGCCGCGUGAGUGAUGAAGGCCUUAGGGUCGUAAAGCUCUUUCGCCAGGGAUGAUAAUGACAGUACCUGGUAAAGAAACCCCGGCUAACUCCGUGCCAGCAGCCGCGGUAAUACGGAGGGGGUUAGCGUUGUACGGAAUUACUGGGCGUAAAGCGCGCGUAGGCGGAUUAGUCAGUUAGAGGUGAAAUCCCAGAGGCUCAAACCUGGAACUGCCUUUAAUACUG